rnacentral:rRNA from 1 species
CAGCCGCCGCGGGAAUACGUAGGUGGCAAGCGUUGUCCGGAAUUAUUGGGCGUAAAGGGCUCGCAGGCGGUUUCUUAAGUCUGAUGUGAAAGCCCCCGGCUCAACCGGGGAGGGUCAUUGGAAACUGGGAAACUUGAGUGCAGAAGAGGAGAGUGGAAUUCCACGUGUAGCGGUGAAAUGCGUAGAGAUGUGGAGGAACACCAGUGGCGAAGGCGACUCUCUGGUCUGUAACUGACGCUGAGGAGCGGAAGCGUGGGGAGCGAACAGGAUUAGAUACCCGCGUAGUCCCUGUCUCUUAUAC